UACGUAGGAUCCAAGCGUUAUCCGGAUUUAUUGGGUUUAAAGGGUGCGUAGGCGGCCUAUUAAGUCAGGGGUGAAAGACGGUAGCUUAACUAUCGCAGUGCCUUUGAUACUGAUGGGCUUGAAUGUACUUGAGGUAGGCGGAAUGUGACAAGUAGCGGUGAAAUGCAUAGAGAUGUCACAGAACACCAAUUGCGAAGGCAGCUUACUAAAGUAUGAUUGACGCUGAGGCACGAAAGCGUGGGGAUCAAACAGG
rnacentral:rRNA from 1 species